GGAACAACUGUGUUCGUCUCAGAAGGAACUGCUUGCCAUUGGGGGUUUAUUCCUAAAACCGGUUCCAUAAGGACCGCGAUGCCAGAGACCGGCGAAGCCCUCCACCCUGAAUUUUACCGAGGCACCCGACAUGAACCCUCAGAUCGCGUUGGCAUGGCAUUUGGCAGACGCUUUUAUCCAAUCGCGAAGGGAUAUCUGGUUCCAUGUCAUCAAGGAACAGGUAUGGCUUAAUGGAUCUAGCUGAAGGAUGUUAGUUAAGUUGUGUAUAUUGGAGAGAACUCAAAUGCAUUCCAGCUGGCAACAACAUAGCCAUCUACAAUCAAAUGUAUCAAUCAAAGACCAUCUAUAUUUUAACCAAUCAUUACUUUCAUCAGCAACAAACUCCAGCAAGAUUUCCAGACUUUCUUUGCAUAAAAAAAUACUGCAGAUGUCACUUUGACUCACUUCUGUUCAUUACCGUACAAGUAUGUGUGCUGUGGAGAUGAACCCCAGCCCACGACGUUUGCACUCAGCCUGGUUGGCAGCCAAACCUUGUCUGCUGUAUUAGCCGACCAACGGUGCUAGGAGCUAACUGCGCAUCGCCGGAGAAGGCCCUGCGCGAAACGUGUAGCGUCGCUUCGAAACGCUGUCGAACUGAAAUGUUUCUCCGGAGAAAUCCCAUUUCAGGGUUCAACGGCUCUUCCAGAGGCCGCCCGAGCGAGCCGCCGUGUAAUGUAUGCCCUCAUAAAGCUUGUCGACUUAAUCGAUUUUCUUUUUUUUUCAGCAGCCUAUUUUCAAUUAUUCGACUAUACUUUUUUUUUUUUUUUAUCCGCAGUUUUUUGCGCUCGUUUCUCACAUCGUUGCUUCUCUUGUGUUUUUCAAUUCGGUGAAAGGUGUGUGAGUAAAUAUUUUUUUUUUUUGUUGUUUUUGGACAAAUAAAGAGAAUUGUUUUAAUUGAAAUGUAAACGCCUAAUAUCAUGGCAUUUCCAAUAGCCUCUGCUGUACCCAGCAACUGCCAAAUUCCCUUUAACAGUCAUCAAACCUCCAUGUUGUGGUUAAAUUUGUUGCACGUAGUUGCUUAUAAUACUGUUUAUCGGAGCAUACUCCUGUAUGGACCUGUAUCUAUUCAAUCAGUCUCUAUGGAUUCAAACAUUGAAAUAGUAAAUGGAUUACAUUACAUGCAGCUAUAUGGUUUGUCCGAAGUCCCAUAGAAAUGUAUUUUGUGGUUCCAAUGGUGUCUGGUGAUGCUCUGACCUUUCUUUAACAUGAUGUAUUUCUCGUUUUUGUCGUACCUUUUAUGAAUCUCGUUACACUCUGUAUUAACGGUCUCCAAUUUCCAACAAGGUGUAAAGUAGAUUAGCCAUUGCAAGCUGUUUUCAGAUCUAAGUCAUUGUCACAUUAUUGUCCUUCCAGAGGAAAGCUGCUACAGCCUACUGCUUUGCAGGCUGAUUAAAUCAGAUCUCCAAGAAACUUGUGGAUGAAUAACUGAUGCAGAUUUGGGAUACAAAAUCUAUC